UAUAAAUUAAUACAAUUACAAAAUCGACUAAUGUGAAGAAAUUAAAACUUUGUGUUCGAUUUUCAAAAUUACCGCACGUGCAAAAUGUUUUUUAAAUAAAGAGAACCCGUCUCAAAAACCUUGCUCUCUUCCUUCCUCCCUCUUCCCUCCUCGUAUUUCCGCCAGGAAACCCAGCCGAGUUGAAACGCCACAAAAACACUCGGAACCCACUAUCUUCUCAACCCAGUUCCCGGAGACAUGCGUCUUCUUCUCCAUUGGCCUCUCCGCAAGCUCUCCUUCUUGUCCUUCUCAACCUCCGGCCUUCGAAUGGCGUCCAAGCAGCUCCUCAAGUCCGCUCCUUUGCCGAACCCGCUGACCCCUUCUGCGCGCAGAUACCCCUUCCACCCUGCAGCCUCGUCUUCUCCCCGAUUACCUCGAAACCCGUGUCAAAAAUUCGACCGCUUUGCUUAAGGACUAACGGAUAUUCUUCUCUCUCCCCUGCCCAUGUCGCAGAACCUGUUGAAUUGGAAAAACCAGAAGAAAAUGGAAUGUCCUCUAUCCAAAUGAGGAUUUUGAAGGAGAAAUUGGAGAAUCUUGGCAUACACGGUGAAACAAUGUCAGUUCCGAGGCAGUACAACCACUUGAUUUGUCCAGUGGUAUGCUGAUAGUUUUGCUUCUGACGCUAUGUUGUAUUUAUUUCAGCAUAUAUUUUUUACUUUCUUUGUUUAGGAGUUUAUGAAUUACUGAAUCCUGAUUCAGAAAUACAUAAAGUCCGACCCCACUUAGUGGGAUAAGGCUUUAUUGUUGUUGUUCUAUUGAAUAUGUAGGAUGGUAAUUGUCAAAACCUAUGCAUAUGUCCCAUUUUUGUUUGUUAUUUUAAGUGGAGUAGGAUUCUCUCCUCUCCUAUUUCCA